rnacentral:rRNA from 1 species
AGCCUAUACAGGUGUUGCAUGGCUGUCGUCAGCUCGUGUCGUGAGAUGUUCGGUUAAGUCCGCUAACGAGCGCAACCCUCGUCGUAUGUUAUAUGUGUCAUACGAGACUGCCGGUAAAAAGACCGGAGGAAGGUGAGGAUGAUGUCAAGUCAGCAUGACCUUUAUAUCCAGGGCUACACACACGCUACAAUGGUCUGUACAAUGGGCUGCCAACCCGCAAGGGGGAGCUAAUCCCAAAAAGCCGUCCUCAGUUCAGAUUGGAGUCUGCAACUCGACUCCAUGAAGUCGGAAUCGCUAGUAAUCGUAUAUCAGCAUGAUACGGUGAAUACGUUCCCGGGCCUU